rnacentral:sRNA from 1 species
GCUGGGUGCAGUGGUGCUCCCCUGUAAUCCCAGCAACUUGGGAGGCUAAGGCAGGAGGAUUGCUAGUUUGGCACCUUAGUGAGACCCUAUCUCAA